rnacentral:rRNA from 1 species
UACGUAGGGUCCGAGCGUUGUCCGGAAUUACUGGGCGUAAAGAGCUCGUAGGUGGUUUGUCGCGUUGUUCGUGAAAACUCACAGCUCAACUGUGGGCGUGCGGGCGAUACGGGCAGACUAGAGUACUGCAGGGGAGACUGGAAUUCCUGGUGUAGCGGUGGAAUGCGCAGAUAUCAGGAGGAACACCGGUGGCGAAGGCGGAUCUCUGGGCCUUACCUGACGCUGAGGAGCGAAAGCUGGGGGGAGCAAACAGG